GAUGAACGUUGGCGGCGUGCCUAAUACAUGCAAGUCGAGCGAACGGACGAGAAGCUUGCUUCUCUGAUGUUAGCGGCGGACGGGUGAGUAACACGUGGAUAACCUACCUAUAAGACUGGGAUAACUUCGGGAAACCGGAGCUAAUACCGGAUAAUAUUUUGAACCGCAUGGUUCAAAAGUGAAAGACGGUCCUGCUGUCACUUAUAGAUGGAUCCGCGCUGCAUUAGCUAGUUGGUAAGGUAACGGCUUACCAAGGCAACGAUGCAUAGCCGACCUGAGAGGGUGAUCGGCCACACUGGAACUGAGACACGGUCCAGACUCCUACGGGAGGCAGCAGUAGGGAAUCUUCCGCAAUGGGCGAAAGCCUGACGGAGCAACGCCGCGUGAGUGAUGAAGGUCUUCGGAUCGUAAAACUCUGUUAUUAGGGAAGAACAUAUGUGUAAGUAACUGUGCACAUCUUGACGGUACCUAAUCAGAAAGCCACGGCUAACUACGUG
rnacentral:rRNA from 1 species